GAGAAUCUGCUUACCAGCAAUCUACAGGCAAGCAGCAUCUCUACAUAACCUGAAAGAGUAGUCAGUUGAUUCUAUAAACAGCAACUAUAAACACAUAAAUACAGAAGAAUGAACCUCGGAGUCCUGAAAACACUGCCACUAUGAAACUAUGAAAAAGGAGACAGCGAAAUAGACUUGUCAUCCUGUGCAGGUCUCUUACUAAAGCUUCCUGUUCAAAGUCUGGCUGAGAAUUUUUGCUGCUUCUUUCCCUACCUCCUCAUUUCCGAAGGAGGUACCUUUCUGGCUUCUCUGUUGAACAUUUCCUAAAUAAAGUGUGGAUGAAAAGCAAUAGAGGAAGGAAAUGCAGAAAAUUAUAAGGCUGAAAUAGAAACUGGCCACAGCAGAGAUUAAAGGCCCUUCCUGGGUUAGCUGAUGCUCACCUACAUUGAUGAGGACAAUCUUUGUUUAGUUUGCUGAUUCAAUUGCUCACCUCUUCUGGAAACACCUUCACAGACUCACCAGAAAUAAUGUUUUACCAGCCAUCUGGGCAUCUG
rnacentral:lncRNA from 1 species